rnacentral:rRNA from 1 species
UACAGAGGGUGCAAGCGUUGUUCGGAAUUAUUGGGCGUAAAGCGCGUGUCGGCGGCUUUGCAAGUCGGGUGUGAAAGCCCUCAGCUUAACUGAGGAAGUGCGCCCGAAACUGCAGAGCUUGAGUACCGGAGAGGAUGGCGGAAUUCCCCAAGUAGAGGUGAAAUUCGUAGAUAUGGGGAGGAACACCGGUGGCGAAGGCGGCCAUCUGGACGGAUACUGACGCUGAGGAGCGAAAGCUAGGGGAGCAAACAGG